UGUCAAAAAGUGUAAAGCGCGAGGAUUCAAAAAACAACUUUGUCUAAAGUUAUGCUGCAGUUUUCGUCGGAAAGUUCUGCUUGCCACGACCUUGCCACUAACCACUAACGUUAUUUUAUAAAAUGGUUCCAUUUCGCGAUUUUACUAGAAUACGGAAGAGUUGUGGAAGAUCGGCAUGACGCGGGUAAAGAUCGAGAUCUGGAGUGAAGGGUCAUGUAAUACGGUUGUUGAUUUGGCGGGCGCUUUACUGCUGCUUUGUAUACGUCGCCGGGCAUCAUCAUCAAACGCCACUCGCCAGUGCUCUCUUGCAAGAGCUGUCGAAGAAUAAACAGUUCUCACAGGACCAAGCAAUUUAGCAAACGUAUUUAACGGAGCUGGAUUAAUAUUCAGAUACUUUAGGCAAAAAGUUGCUUCCGAUGCACCAACCACCAGUUUAUCGUUCCGGAUAAGGACGAUUCGGACGCGAAACGACGCAGAAUCGGAAGGAAUUCAUUUUUCCCUUCCAGCCACCUUUAUUUCCGAGGAAGACUUCCACAGUUUCAUUUCAAACUCCAUCGACGAUGGAAAAGUAUGGAGCAGUGAAGAAGGAAAAAAAGUAGACCAAAAUAAAAGGAAUACACUCCGGAGGAGAUGGCAAGGGCCAAGUAGUGAUAGAAGUGCGGUUCAUCACUCUAAGGCUUCUUCCAGCUGUUGAAAGCUACUGCCUCAGUCCGAUGUACAGUGCGCAAUUAGAACUUAACCUCUGACACCAAAUAUUGCUAUACUCCAUCGGCGGCGUUCUAAAUUACCGCCCGCAGCAGCCACCGUGACGUGCUUUCAAUACUGUCUUAAACAAUAUUUCGGUGAGAUACUGAACCAAAUUGAAUCACAUGUUGAUAAAAAUCACCGCUACCGCUCGCGGGACAGCAAUGAGUCUAAGCAUAUGAAAGUAACCACUACCCAAGAUAGCGCCUCGGCACAACACAAUAGCCCUCACGAAACCAGCAAGAAUCGUCGUAACUAAUUUGUGGCGUCUAACCGAAAAAAUCGAUUCCGGAGAACGAUUGCCGUCGGAGCAAGUAAAAAGCUGUAGUAUGGAGCCAAUAAAAUCAGUAACAGUAAUACCACAGAGAACCAGACGUCUAACUUAUAUCCAAGUGCAAUCAAAAUUUUCAUUACGGAAAUAUUGUGAAAAUUAGAGUAAUUUUUCGAUUUCAACAAACAUCAUUGUCGUUUUCUUAGAAAAAGACGCAGUCUUACAGCAGCAGCCCAAGCAAAUGGACCUAAGGGUAGUGUAAUACGGUUCAGACUGUCGCAUUUGAUUAAAUGCCUCCAACCAAUAAUAAGACGUGGACCAGCAAAAACCGACAUCACACCGGCCGACAGUGAAUCGGCACCGCUAACUAGUGAUCAAGUAAAUCUACGUAUCGUAGUUCCAGCGUUCCAGCGAGGACAAAUUGAAGGUUCAAUACCAAAAUUUGUAGUUCGGCUGAUUCAGAAGCAGACUCAACCUAGAGGCGAUGCUGUUCCAUCUGCUGAAGCAUGACGCGAUGGACUGGGAUACAAUUAUAUUGAAUACAUUGGGGUUGCACUUAGGGGUCGUAGUGGACCAACAUUAAACUUGAAAUUAAUAAAUAUUAGAUUGUUAGAUCACGAGUUCUACUUGAUAAAGAAUAUCUUUAGUUCCACUUGAUAAAGAAUAUCUUUAGUUUAAAUGAAAAACAAGAUGUACGAACACUAAUCUUCUCUAUAUAUAAAAAUGCGUUUACAUUUGCUUUGAGGCAAUAUAACUCACGAGCGGAUGAACUGAUUUGCAAUAUUAUCUCACUAAUCGAAUCGUUAUGUGAUCAUCUGUGUUUAUAUACCUAUACGAAAAGUUGGUCAAUUUGACCGGAAAAAUUGAAAAACUGUCAAAAUAUAAUGGUUUCAUGAAUUCUGAAGAAAGCCAUCAGCGCGAAUUGGAAUCGAUCUAGAGUGUGACGCAGUAAUUAAACAAACAUUAAAUUUUGACAAUUAUAUUUAAAAAAUCACGACUCACGACCUAGAUCGGGCAGAUUCGCCUAGUAUAAAUAUAAUUUUUAUCCAGUGAUAAACUUCCUUGUCUGCGAAGGCUAUUUUAAAGUCUGAAUGUUGUUUACUACUACAUUUGCUUUUUCUGACACGUGAUUGACCUUCUUAGACCGAGCGCUACAGUGGCGUUAGAAUCGCAGGUUAGUAGAUUGAUCGUUCAAAAAUAUCCUAAAUUUAGACAUGGUCGAUUAGUUUAGAUAAGUCGCAAGAUCUAUACUCCAACUCAUUUGGAUUCAACUGAGUUCAUCAAUGACUUUCCCGUCAAAACGUAGCAUAAGAAUUCCUUGAAUGUCAGCUUUAUUUCCAGGGUCAUGUUUUCAUCGUCCUUCAGACUAACGGAAAUAAAAGUGCUACCGAGUAGGCAUCUUAUUUCUAUCAAAUUCUUUAGAGAAUAAUUUUGUUUUAUAACUCAUUUUAAUGUACAGAUUUCAUUUUCGGUAUGAUUGUUUUAUUGUGGUAAAUGCACGGCUACAAAGCAAUACCAUGCUGAGGGUGGCUGGGUUAGAUUCCCGGUACCGGUCUAGACAAUUUUCGGAUUGGAAAACCGCCUCGACUUCCCUGGACAUAUAAGUAUCAUCAUGUUAGCCUCCUGAUAUACGAAUGCAGAAAUGGUAACUUGUCUUUGAAAUCUCGCAGUUA